CGGGAGCUUUGUCAGCAUCUUGUGCAACUUGAUUUAGGGGGGAGGCCGAGCAGAGGGAUGUGCCUUGUGAAGAGGAGUAGGCGAACAGGCACCCCAGGCGGGCUCCCAAAUAGAUCAUGGUUCAAAUGCCUUAGGAAUUUCUCAUACAUAACAGAUGGAGAUGGGUGUCCUCUGAUUGGCCAGUGGCUUUCCUCCACAUGGUGAUUCAGGGAGCCAGGCUCUUCUCAUCUCAGGGCUCUUUCAUUCCCUAGAGUCUCACUGUCACCUACAUCCAGCUGGUAGAAGAGGAAGGCAAGUGUGGAAGAAGCCAACUUGCUUCUUAGGUCCUUGACUCAGAACUGAGUUGAACUCUCUUCUGCUCAUAUUCGAUUGGUGGGGACUUGUCACAUGACCACACCUAGGUGCAAGGGCAGCUGGGAAACGUAGUCUUCGUUCUUUAAUGACUAUGCUAGAAGGAGUGGGGAUUUUGGUAGACAACCAUCUCAGUCACAGGAUGAAAUCAAGGCAUUUAGAUCAGGGAACCAAGAGAGAGCAACUCAUUCUGAGUCUCAAGGGACUAUGUGGAAGUCCUCCCUAAACAACUUGCUAGAAAGAGUUUUGCUUUUGCUCAGGACUGGAGGAUCCGACAGCAACAGAACUGGGCAGAACCCCAGGGGAAAGUUAUAAGUCCUUGCUUAGCAUCUGGACGGCCAUCUUAAGUGACAGCUGCCAUUCUAAGGGAAAAGUUCCGCUUUCCUGCCCAAGGACCUUUCUGAGAAAGGCUCACCACUCCCUCAUACCAACCC
rnacentral:lncRNA from 1 species